GCUUAGCCGUAAACAUAGGUAGAGCCAACACAAUACUACCCGCCAGAGAACUACAAGUGAAAAGCUAGAAACUCUAAGGACUUGGCGGUGCCUUAAACCAGCCUAGAGGAGCCUGUCCUAUAAUCGAUACUCCGCGCUAAACCUUACCACCUCUUGCCAGUCAGCCUAUAUACCGCCGUCGUCCAGCCUACCUCGUGAGAGCCCAACAGUAGGCAAAACAGUUAACAACUAAUACGUCAGGUCAAGGUGUAGCACAUGAGGUGGAAGCGAUGGGCUACAUUUUCUACCACAGAAAACACGAACGCCACAAUGAAACUUGUGCCCGAAGGUGGAUUUAGCAGUAAGAUAUAUAAGAAACAAUACCUUAAACCCUGCUCUGAGGCGCGCACACACCGC
rnacentral:rRNA from 1 species